GGCAUUUUUCUAAAAAAACACAAAUAUAUUUCAAUACAUUCACAUCCUGAAAACUUAUGAAACAUGUUUUAGCUUGAUGGGGUGUACUCAACUUACUACAUUAAGUAUAAGGAUGUUUAAAUGUUGCUAAAAUAAGAGGAAGGUUUGAUGUAUACUAGUAUAUAAGUUUCAGAAAUGUCCUCCGUUAUACUUAAAAUUGUACAAACACACAGAUUUAGUUGUUAUAUAAAAAUGCAUGUAUUUACACACAUUUGAGGCCGUACUGUAGCCUUUAAUUGAUCACAGUUCCUGUGCUUGGUUUAAGAUGUAGAGCUGUCUCUUUGACACUCAAUUGUACACCACUUUGUCAAGCGGGGGGUUAUAGUGAUAAAGAAGUCCGU
rnacentral:lncRNA from 1 species